rnacentral:rRNA from 1 species
ACGUAGGGGGCGAGCGUUGUCCGGAAUUACUGGGCGUAAAGCGCACGUAGGCGGGCUGUCAAGUCGGCCGUGAAAGGCCUGGGCUCAACCUGUGAAUGGCGGUUGAAACUGGAGGUCUGGAGUAUAGGAGAGGUAGGUGGAAUUCCCGGUGUAGCGGUGAAAUGCGUAGAUAUCAGGAGGAACACCAGUGGCGAAGGCGGCUUCCUGGCCCAAGACUGACGCUGAGGUGCGAAAGCGUGGGUAGCAAACAG